GACGAACGCUGGCGGCGUGCUUAAUACAUGCAAGUCAACUUGACUUUAGAUAGCAAUAUCGAAAAGUAGGGUGGCGCACGGGUGCGUAACGCGUAGGUAAUCUGCCCUAAGGUCUGGCAUAACCUAUCGAAAGGUAGGCUAACAUCAGAUGAUAUAUAAUCACGACAUCGUGGAAAUAUCAAAUCUUCGGAGCCUUGGGAUGAGCCUGCGUCUGAUUAGGUAGUUGGCGGAGUAAUAGCCCACCAAGCCUACGAUCAGUAGCUGGUCUGAGAGGAUGAUCAGCCACACUGGAACUGAGACACGGUCCAGACUCCUACGGGAGGCAGCAGUAAGGAAUAUUGCUCAAUGGGGGAAACCCUGAAGCAGCUAACGCCGCGUGAAGGAUGAAAUACUUUUGUAUGUAAACUUCUGUAAGAUGGGAAAAUAUUCUCCUCGGGAGAAUUGAUUGUACCAUCAGAGUAAGCCCCGGCUAACUACGUG
rnacentral:rRNA from 1 species